AACGAACGCUGGCGGCAGGCCUAACACAUGCAAGUCGAACGCUCCGCAAGGGGAGUGGCGCACGGGUGAGUAACACGUGGGAACCUACCUUCUGGUACGGAACAACCAAGGGAAACUUUGGCUAAGACCGUAUACGACCUCCGGGUGAAAGAUUGAUCGCCGGAAGAGGGGCCCGCGUCCGAUUAGGUAGUUGGUGAGGUAACGGCUCACCAAGCCUUCGAUCGGUAGCUGGUCUGAGAGGAUGACCAGCCACACUGGGACUGAGACACGGCCCAGACUCCUACGGGAGGCAGCAGUGGGGAAUAUUGGACAAUGGGCGCAAGCCUGAUCCAGCCAUGCCGCGUGAGUGAUGAA
rnacentral:rRNA from 1 species